rnacentral:rRNA from 1 species
CGGCCUAUCAGCUUGUUGGUGAGGUAAUGGCUCACCAAGGCGUCGACGGGUAGCCGGCCUGAGAGGGUGACCGGCCACACUGGGACUGAGACACGGCCCAGACUCCUACGGGAGGCAGCAGUGGGGAAUAUUGCACAAUGGGCGAAAGCCUGAUGCAGCAACGCCGCGUGAGGGAUGACGGCCUUCGGGUUGUAAACCUCUUUUAGCAGGGAAGAAGCGAAAGUGACGGUACCUGCAGAAAAAGCGCCGGCUAACUACGUGCCAGCAGCCGCGGUAAUACGUAGGGCGCAAGCGUUAUCCGGAAUUAUUGGGCGUAAAGAGCUCGUAGGCGGUUUGUCGCGUCUGCUGUGAAAUCCCGAGGCUCAACCUCGGGUCUGCAGUGGGUACGGGCAGACUAGAGUGCGGUAGGGGAGAUUGGAAUUCCUGGUGUAGCGGUGGAAUGCGCAGAUAUCAGGAGGAACACCGAUGGCGAAGGCAGAUCUCUGGGCCGUUACUGACGCUGAGGAGCGAAAGGGUGGGGAGCAAACAGGCUUAGAUACCCUGGUAGUCCACCCCGUAAACGUUGGGAACUAGUUGUGGGGUCCAUUCCACGGAUUCCGUGACGCAGCUAACGCAUUAAGUUCCCCGCCUGGGGAGUACGGCCGCAAGGCUAAAACUCAAAGGAAUUGACGGGGACCCGCACAAGCGGCGGAGCAUGCGGAUUAAUUCGAUGCAACGCGAAGAACCUUACCAAGGCUUGACAUAUACGAGAACGGGCCAGAAAUGGUCAACUCUUUGGACACUCGUAAACAGGUGGUGCAUGGUUGUCGUCAGCUCGUGUCGUGAGAUGUUGGGUUAAGUCCCGCAACGAGCGCAACCCUCGUUCUAUGUUGCCAGCACGUAAUGGUGGGAACUCAUGGGAUACUGCCGGGGUCAACUCGGAGGAAGGUGGGGAUGACGUCAAAUCAUCAUGCCCCUUAUGUCUUGGGCUUCACGCAUGCUACAAUGGCCGGUACAAAGGGCUGCAAUACCGCGAGGUGGAGCGAAUCCCAAAAAGCCGGUCCCAGUUCGGAUUGAGGUCUGCAACUCGACCUCAUGAAGUCGGAGUCGCUAGUAAUCGCAGAUCAGCAACGCUGCGGUGAAUACGUUCCCGGGUCUUGUACACACCGCCCGUCAAGUCAUGAAAGUCGGUAACACCUGAAGCCGGUGGCCCAACCCUUGUGGAGGGAGCCGUCGAAGGUGGGAUCGGUAAUUAGGACUAAGUCGUAACAAGGUAGCCGUACCGGAAGGUGCGGCUGGAUCACCUCCUUU